UUUCAAAGCCUUUGCUCACUCUAGUUUUUGUCAGUUAAUAAAUGUUACCCAAUUCUGAGGUUAUAUAGGGCACACAAGCAUACCUCUGGCUUCUUUUUCUUUUGAUAUUUGUUCUACCCAAUUAUGGAUUUAUAGAAAUUUUUGUAUUUAUAUAUUUAUCAUAAUAUGAAUUAUGAAUCACAAUAUUUAUGUAUUUACUAUAAUUGUAUUAAAAUCCUAUUUACAUUUUAUAUAAUUACAUAUAAUGUAUAAUUUAUGUCUAUGUAAUCUCAUUAUACAAUCUGAAAUUUUAUACUUUAUUUAAUGGAUGAGUAGGUAACAUGAAAGGGAAAUUACUUGAUGCCAGAAGUCUGUCAAAUUCUCCAUCUGUUCUCAGAUGGAACCAUGCCUUGUGUAUUAGAUGAUGUUUUCUACAAAAUACUUUCUGUGCACUGACUUAACUUAUUCCUAUGCUCCUAAAUAAAAUAAAACUUUAUUCAUGUAUAUUGUGUACCAUUCAGAGUGUGUAUAAGUCAUAAGGGUAGAACUUGAUGAAUAUUCAAAGUAUACCUGUUUAAUCAGCACUUAGAUCCAAAAACUGCUUAACACUAAUAUCUCAGAUGAUGCUCCUUAUGCCCUUUUAAGUACCAGCCUGUAAGUAUAACCAUUCCUGGUUUCCAAAACCAUGAAUUUGUCUUGCCAAUUUUUGAAACUUAUGCAAAUGGAAUCAUACAAAUGAGACUUUAAAUCUGGCUUCUUUUGAUUCACAUUUUCUUUUUUUUUAUUCACAUGUUCUCUUUCUGUGUUAAUUCUCACAACUAUACAAAAUUUCAAUGUGAAAAUAUGCCACAAUUUCUUUGUCUGUACUCUUAAUGGUAUUGCUUUGAAUUUUUAUCAAUGUUUAGCAAAUAGUGCUGCCACAAAGAAUCUUGUACAUGUCCUUGGUACCCUCAUGCAUGUAGCUAAGAUAUGCUUAUUAUUGCUAUCAUAACAGUGCUUAAAAAAUCCUUCAAAUCUCAGUGUUAUAUAACAUGAACAUUUACUUUUUUUUUUCCUUUUAGGGCCACACCAAUGGCAUCUGGAAGUCCCCAGGCUAGGGGUCGAACUGGAUCUGUAGCUGCUGGCCUAUGCCACAGCCAUAGCAACACCAGAUCUGAGCAGAGUCUUCAACCUACACCACAGCGCACAGCAACGCCAGGUCCUUAACCCACUGAGCGGGGCCAGGCAUUAAACCUGCAUCCUCAUGGAUGCUGGUCAGAUUUGUUUCCCCUGAGCCAUGAUGGGAACUCCCCAUUUACUUCUUGUUAAUGUGUUUGUAAGUUGGCUGGGAUUUGACCAACAUAAUGUCGGUUUGGUUCAAACUGUGUGUUGGUUUCCAUCCUUCUCCAUUUCUCCCUCAUCCUCCUUGGGCUGGCAACUGCUGGGGGCAUUUUCUCCCGAUGAAAAGGGUAGAAAACAAGAAAAGCUCAGACGUGCAUGCAUUUACCUACAUUCAAGGCAAGUUUCCAACAUCCCACUGGCCAAUGAAAAUAGGAUGCUAAGCCCAAAGGCAAGAGUCAGGAAAAUACAUUCUGUUCAUGGUAAAGCAAAAUCAAGUGACAUUGGUAGGCAAGCUCCAAAGGGAAGGGAUGCCCUAAAGAUGAGAGGGGAAAGAACAUAUUCUGCCGAAUAAUAAUCUAACCCAGGGAUCUAGGGAGUCUUGAUCACCAUUUGCUUUGGCAAAGUUUUAUUGGAAAACAUCUAUGUCCAUUCAUUUACAUAUGGUCUGUGGCUGUUUUUAUACUACAAUGACAGAGUUGAGUAGGGAGAUACAGCCCAUCUGGCUUGCAAAAUCUGAAAUAUUUUACUCUUUCCAGAAAAACUUUGUCCACCCCCAAUUAAUCUAUCACUUUGGUAUAUAUCUAGAACCAGAAUUGUUAAGUUAUAAAAGAGACCACAAAAUAGUUUUUCAAAGUUCUAUCUUUUCACCUGCAGUUUUUCACUACUCACUAUACUUUGCAUUUUUAUUCUUUUUUGGCUUCAUUGACUUAUUAUACUCGAUUGAAAUAUUUUACUUUUACCUUUUCCUAAUAAUUCUAGGAACUUAGAGUUGGUUAUUUUUUUUCUUAAGAGCUGCACUUGUGGCAUAUGUAAAUUCCCGGGCUAAGGGUCAAAAUGGAGCUACAACUACUGGCCUAUAUCAUAGCCACAGCAAUGCCAGAUUCAAGCCAGGUCUGUGACCUGCACUGCAACUGAUGGCAACUCUAGAUCCUUAACAGGCUGAGUGGAGUCAGGGAUUGAACCCACAUCCUCAUGGAUACUAGUUGGGUUCAUUACUGCUGAGCCACAGGGGGGACUCCUAGAGUUAGUUAUUUUUAUAUUCAAUCAUUUUUGUUAUACUUGUCAUAUAUCUCAUAUUUUAGAUAUUUAAAUGUCAAAAGGAAUUAUUAUUAUUUGUUCACAAUUAAUAGUCAUUUAUAUUUUUCUAUGCAGUUGUAUUUCUGUGUGUGUUUUUGUCUGGAUUUUUUUACUUGUACCUAAACAAAUUUGAUGUUUUCUACAAUUAAGUACUUGAUAAAAAUCCUAUUUCUUACCAUUCGUCAAGAAAUUUUAGUUUUAUGUUUUAUAAGAUAGAUACUUUUGAUUGCAUGAGAUUCUAGAUAGUUAUUUGUAGUAUAUCCUUCUUAAAAUACUGUCACAUUUUCUUUUGGCUUUGUUUCAGUUGAGGAUUCUAUUUACUGAUACAUUUUGCAGGUAAUAUGUCUGUUUCUCUAGCUAUCCUGAUUUUGACAUCACAUUUAAUUUUCAGCCCUCAGAUUAUGUUGAUGUAAUUUUAAUUGUACUUUUCCCUUGUUAGUGCAGAGCUUUUAGAAUAUGUGAAAUGGUAUCAUUCAUGAGUUUUGAAAAACUAUGGAUUAUUUUCUCUUCAAAAACAGCUUCAGCUUUAUUUUUUUCCUCUUCCACCAAACUUCGCUUACAUGAAGGUUUUACUUUUUCAUGAGGUCUGGCAUGUCCCUUACACUCUCCUCAGUAUUUAGUAUUGCAAGUUUUCUAUUUUUACCUAGGUUGAAUUGUUUUCAUCAACCCAUUUUUAAAGUUACUCACUUUUUCCUGUAAUUUGUCUAUUGUGUUCUUAAUAUCAUGCAUUUGCUUUCUUUCUUUUUAAGAUCUAGAAUUUGAAAUUGAUUCUUUGGUAAAUUUCUGCAAUUAUACCACCUGUUUCACCACUUUACAUUACAUGUCUUAUAUGAAUUAAUGAUGAUUGUUUUUAUUUCUUGUUUCCACAACCAGUAUAUUGCUGAUCUAAUGGCUGCCUUAUGAUGUUGGUUGAUUAUUUUGUAUUGUUUCAUUGGCUUCUAUGUUAUCAGCGUUUUGUGUAAAAAUUGUAGAAGAUCCAGAUAGUAUUUCACCACAUUUUUUUUUUUUUUGGUCCUAGGCUAUUAGGAAAAUAUGAUAGCCUUAAUCUAAACAAAGACUAACAUAAAAUGAGUUUCCUUGAAUUUUGGUAAGAUCUUGUCUACUUCUGUUUUGCUUCAGCUUAAAGGGAUAUUCAUUUGACUUUUUUGAUUAAGAGCAUUUUUUCUUGACAAUUCCUGAACUGUAUUGACUAUUUUUCACCACUUCAGUAUGGAUAAGAAAUUCUAACUGAUUUUCAAAUGUAUCUGCUUGGUCUGUUAGGAAAUUGACCCUUGAAAAUUCAGAAUUUGGAAAAUAUCUCGAGGAGAAAUGUAGCUGUGUAUUAAGCUCAGGAUUCUAACAGUACAUUUUUUAUCAGACUUUUAUGUCUUUAACUAGUUUUAUUGGUCCUUGAGGGGGGGAACACCUAAAAUUCUGCUUGUUACUUUUCCCCUUAGAAUUAAGAUUUGAAGAAUUUUCAACUUGCUUUUCCCCAAUUUCUAUUUAUGCAGAAUAUUGGUACCUUUAUUCUUGCAUUUGUUUUGUUUUGUUUUGUUUUCACCAGCUCUCGAUUUCACUUACUGUUGUCAGUUUGAAUUUCCCAAGUAAAACAGAACUAUUUAAAAAGUGGAAAAUGAAUUUGUUUCUGGAUACAGUUAAAAUAUAAAGGCACAUAUAUUUACUAAAAGCCAGACCAUAGGUAAAACAUGAAAUAAUCUGAUAUUAAUUUGAUACUGAGAAAAUAUCUCAUGGUUUCAAUGAUUUUUCUCUUGUUAUGUAUAUUAUAUGACUUUGUCUCACGUACUUAUUAUACAUUGGAAUACUUUAAAGUACUAUUUGGCUACCAGGUUGGCAAGGCAGAAGUAUCAUUAUUAGUGCUGACACUUUAAAUUAGAUGAUCCUAUGCUCAUUCUAUCGGCAAAAUAUAUUUAGGUUGAGAAAUAUUUCAUAGAGGUAGAGCACUAGCUGAUAUAAUCAGCUGUUGCAAAAGACACAAAACUUACAAAUGCAUGCAAAUUUUAAUGCCCUGAUGUGUAUUAAAUAUUUUAAUAUAACUAUUAUAAAAAGUAAUCACUUUUAAAAUUUAGAAAGAGUAUAAGCCAGCAGAGAUGGUAGAAGAAGAUCUAGAGACAUAGAUAAAAAUAGAUUUCUUUUUUCAUUUUUUUUGGCUGGACCCAUGGCAAAUGGAAGUUCUUGGGCCAGGGAUUAAACCCAAGCCACAGCAGUGAUCUGAGCCACAGCAGUGACAACACUGGAUCCUUAACCGGCUGUGCCAUCAGGGAACUCCUAAAAGAGAUUUCUUAUAAGCAAGGUUGGAAUUGAUAUUUUUACUCUCUUCAUUUUUGAGCACAUAAUAUCCACAAAAGAGCACUUUUGCUCUUUCUCACUCUCUCACUGCCCCACCACCACUACAUGCUCAUGAAUAAUCAUACACAAAUGCACAAAUAUGCAUGCUAAACUUAUGGGAAAAUUUAGUAUGAAUGUCACAAAACAAUUUAUUUAAUAAUACAUAUAUAUUUUUAAAUAAAGUUGCCAUUCCAAAGGCAAUAGUCUGCAUCUAUUAUCCCCAAGCUCCCAAUCCAUCCCAUUCCCUUCUCCUCCCCCUUGGCAACCACAAGUCUAUUCUCCAAGUCCAUGAUUUUCUUUUCUGUGGAAAGUUUCAUUUGUGAUGUAUAUUAGAUUCC
rnacentral:lncRNA from 1 species